ensembl:lncRNA
GGAAUACUAUCUCUAAACUUGCAUCUUCAUUAUGAGAUCUAUUUCAGUGCUAUUGUUACUCCUGGGAAGAUCGUAGAUCCGUUUAUUUUGUGUGGGAGUGAUACUGAUGGUGAGAUGAUACUAUUCUUCCCUACACACCUCCCUGAUUUAUUGUGUAUUUGAGAAUAUCUCACUGCUUGCUGAUGAAAUUUGAGAAUAAUUUGCAUCCAUGUUAAACAAUAUGAAUCUUUGUCCACCCUUUCAGUUAAUUUAUUUUCUGAAACACAGGUAGUUUCCAGAAACAGAGUAAUAGUGAGAGGGUGGACUUUGAGAAUACUAAUUGUUAGAAGUUCUGUUUUUCAGAAAGGGUCUAGUUUGCUAAUAACUGUGACUGAGUUUCAUGAAGAAUAGAUUCAAAUGUUGGUUGAUUUACCUGAACAUGUCUUGGAAAAAAAAAAAAGGGGUGUAAUGUUUGAGCACUGGAGGAGCAAGAGAAGUAACUUUAUAGUUAGAGACGUUAGUUCCAUACAGAAGCAGCAGUAUGUGUUCUCAGUCACUGUGGAAAUUAUUCCUUUGUUUUCAGUUAUCAUAUCCUUGGCAUGGUAAAGCCUCUUCAGCCCCUACAAGGUCAUUUGAUUUGAUUGUCAGGCCUAGCACACUACAAAGGCAUUUGAUUUGAUUAUCAGACCUGUGUAGGUGCCUCUUUGAAAAUUUAAAUAUACUGUGAAUAGAAUAGAAACAUGUUUAUCCCACUUUCCCACUUAAUUUGUAUACUGUCCAGUGAAACACAGAACUGAAAAACCAAUGCAGUAAGCCUCCAUGUUCUUUUGUUCUAUUAAUACCACUGUGGUUGAAUAUCUUGAAAUUUUUGACCAUGCCAACAUGCCUGAUAUAAAUAGCUGUGCAAAUAGAGCUCAGCUGAGAUUACCAAACUUGGUGUUUUGCAUUUUUGAUCCAACUUGAAUGGGGAUGUCUGAAAGCAAGAUAGAAAUUAUCCCCUGUGGCACUAAUCUGGCAUGACGACUGAGAAAUUAAAGACCUUGUUUUCAGGAUUUUCUGCCUGACUGCCAUAUCACCAGUAGGCCUUUGCCUAAAGAUCCUGAUCUCAUGCUAGGACAGUGUCUGCUGUUCCUUCCUACAGAAAGAGCAUGAAAUAAGUGGAUGGAACACGGAAGUUCAGAUAUACUUCAUCUUAGUUCUUAGCUCAUUAUCUUUUCUACUUCCUUAUCAAAACAGCCUCCCUCUUCUAUUUUUCCUUUUUCCUUCAGGCAGCCCCCUUAACCUGAAUGUUUCCUCAAACAGGGCCCUUUGUAGACUGUCAAAGCUGAACUGUAAAAUGUUUUUAAAAAGUCUAUUUCAAAGUGUGAACCAGUUAUCUGACUUAGGAAGAGGAUUUUUUGCUGGGAAGCAUUGGAUGUUAAUGUCGGAGUUAAUAGCUCUACCUUUAGGAGCCUUGCAAUAUCUUCAAGAAAUUUCUAUGCAGGUAGGAUGUGUACAUGUAGUAAAGGAAGCUAGAGGUGUGGAAUUCACAGAAGGUAAUUUAAUUUCAGUAGAGUGGGUAGGCCUGUAGAUAGGAGAUGGAAGACUGCAAGAGUUGUAGCAAGUGCAUUUCUUAAAAUAGAGAUAUUCUCAGGAUUUAUCUUAUAGUAAAUGAAAAUAAAGACUAUAGCCCAUAUCUCCUGUCUACCAUCAAAAUAUUAGAAGCGUAAUUUGAGAACAAGUCUUAAGGAGUUUUCAUUUAUGUAAUAUAUGGUUGGGAUUAAUGAGUUAUAGUCAAAUUAUUAUGCGGGAGAGAGAAAGGAAGAAGCAGUACUUAACUUGUAGUCAGUUUACUGCUAGGGGUAACACGCAAGCUGUUGGAAAAAACAACAACAAAAGCCAACAAAAACAACACCACUACCAACAAAACCACCUCUUGGGAGUUGUUGGAAUAGUUAUGUAGGUGAAAGUUCUUGACAGAAUGCUGGUGUUCUCUGAGUCUGACAGUAUUGUGUUAUAUGAAAAUAAAUCAUCCGUUUUUCCAGGACUUUCAAAGAUGUUAAAACUCUGCAUCAGCUCUGUAUCUGUACAGAGACAUUACCUACCCAGACCAGAUCAAAGUUGGAAUAUAUACAUCUUGGAAUUUUUUUGUUGUUGUUUUCCUCACUCAAGGUGUUUUAAAUGUCAUUUUUUAAUGUGUACAAGAGCACAACUUCGUUGAAUGUUUUGGUUUUUUAGUGCUUUUGUGUACCUAGUCUAUACUAUUUUUUCCUUUUCCUCCCCUACAAUACAGGUGUGAAGAUCUAACUCAGCUCAACUAAUGACCCGUGAGUGCCACAUGUUGUCUCUGCAUAUGAUUUUUUAAAAAGAAUAGAAAAUGUAUACUACUUUUCUGUUAACUUUCAGAAAGGUUCUCUUCCCAGCAAAUGGAUAACUGUUUUCCUUUUUAAUCCAGCCAUCAUUUGGAAAUCUAGGUUGAGCUUCACAAGUGAAGUACAAACAGAGGGUCUAAAAAGGUGUCAGCUCUCUGUGGUUGGUGGAUCCUUCUGUACUUUUAUUCCUGUUAUGACCUUGUGAGAACAAAUAUGUACAUAUAUCUUCAUAUUAGGGCAGCUGUGGUACAGAAAGUACGAAAAAGCUGCUCUGAAUGGUGAAGACUUAUUUAGCAAACUGGUCUUUAGAGGUGCAUCAGUAAAAUGUACCUUGAUCAAUGACAAUAGUAACAGUACACAUUUUUCUACUGCUGUCUUAAUCAUGUCUGUGCUCAGCUGAUUUUAUUUCCAGAAAUCAUUAAUUGUGAGACCUCAUGCUUUGCUAAAUACUUUACAAGGUUCUCUCCAUUUAAUCAGGCAUUUAUAAUGAAUGGCUUUGCAGUAACUGUCUGCUGCUGUAUUUUGGGCUUUCAUACACCUUUUGUAAUUAAAUAGAUUGUUUUCUUUAGAAUACUGUUAUAUAGCAAUUAUAUUGCUUCUCUAAGGCCUACAAGAUGAGAGUUGAUUAUCAAUACCUGAUCAAACAAUUUUUUUCAUGGCCAAGUGUUUGCAGGCCAGUCUCAUUAAUCAAGAAGUUUGCUGCUUAUGAAAACAUGGCCAUCUUUACACACCUUAUUUAGGAAAUAAAUGUAAGCAUUUAGUUUUACUAUUUUAAUUUUCUUCCAGAUGCUGUUCCUCAAAUUGCAGGGCAGCUGAAGGAAUAAGAGCCUUAAUUCAGUGUUACAAUACUGUCUAUUCAAAUAAGUUGAGAAGCACUGAAGCAAGAAAACUUAAAACUUAAUAUGAUGUAAAAGUGUACUACAAACUUACUUGAACAGCAUCUUGUUCUUCAGAUAAAUAUUAGGCAAAGAAUCUAUAAAACUGGAGGCAGCAGUCAGCUAAGGCUAACAAGAUUUUAGGCUUGCGGCGACAGGAUCAGCAGCAUUUCAUGCCAUUUUAGGCAUUACUACAUGCUUUGCUUCAACCUUUUGUCAGUUCCUUCCACAACAGAAUCCUGCUGCUGUAUCCAAAUCCCUGGUUAUUCCAUGAGAAGUGUUUGACAUGGAUUUUGUUGAAGAUUUUGAUGUACACUUUCAGGAUUAUUUAUUCCAAAAGGUUUUAUAGUGCCGUGCAGAAGAUGAACAUUUCAAGUUCUUGAACUUUAAAAUAUUUGUACUUCCUCAGAAGUCUCCAGUCACUGACACAGUUUUUAAUACUUAGUGAACAGAAUGAAACAGGCUGCAUGUCUUUCAAGCUCCAAGUACAGUGGAGGAGGAAAUAAAUAGUGAAGGGAGUUUUUGUGGUAGUGUUUUACUCUCAGUUCUUGAUUAGUGUAUGUCUGCUGUCAUAGUUGCUGCCUAGGAGCUGGAAUGAGCACCUCUUAGAAGCAGUUCCAGUGUCUGAUCCAGCUGCUACUGAAGUCCAUCGCAAAAUUGCUACUUAUCUCAAACACAACCUUGAUCAGUCCUAACGCAAUAAUCUGGAAGGAAAAUUCAGUGUUCCAGAUACAUCAAAAACACUUGAGGAUUAACAGGAUGUGCUUUUAAUCCUCCUUCAGUAGCUCAUUGAAAUAGAUGGCUGGGACUAUGACUGUAAUUUUUAUUUUCAUUCUGGAACACUUGCCUGACAGAAAAUCCCCUGUCAGGCCAAGAACAUAUAAGAUUUUCAGCUGUGGGUCCAGUAUGAUUGAUUGUAACCAUCCAUCUCAGGGACAUUUGACGGAGAUUACUGAAUAAGACCAACAGUGUGGGUAUUGAUUCUGUAUUGCAGUCUGAAUGAUUGAAGGUGUAAAUGUGCCCUGAUUCAGCAGACGAGGAUUGGCAAAUGCAGGCAGGUAACAUUUUGCUCCAAAAACAUUUUUGUGAUUCCAAAUCUCUUGUGAUUUUAAAACAAAUACUGUUGAAUGAGAUUUUGAGCUUCAUAGUCCUUGAUGCGUACGUGAAAAGUAUUUUAUUCUUCCUAGAUGCUGCUGGAGCUUCAUUUGGUGUUUUUUUUAAAAAGGGCUCCUCUUUGCUAAAUUUCCUCUUAAGUAUAUGUAGGUUGCUCUGAAAGUAAUGCCUCCUCUUUAUUUCCAUGAAAACUGCUACAGCUACAAAGAGCACUGUGACACUGUUUGAUAGAGAAAAUUCUCAGCUACAGAACGUUUUUUUAACAUACUUUUGGAGCAGUCCUUGUGUAUUUCAUAUUCUGUAAUUCUGCAGAUAUCAAUAAAAUCAUAGUACUAUCAUAUUUUUCAUGCUAUUUAUGCCUGCAGGGUGCUGAGCAAUGGCAAGGCACUAACUUCCAUUACAGCUAUUGCUAAUUAAUCUGAAUAAAUUUGAGAAGCGUGCUAUAGUUUAUAUCCAGAAAGCUCAGCAUGAAAUAUACAAAGUGUCUUGCUUUUAUAGCUCAAAUGAUGUCUGUAAUGAUUUGAAGUUCUUAGCAACAUGUAAAACAUUUUAUCAUUUUAUCUCUUCAUCUAUUAGUAAAAUAUGCCCUACUUAUAAGAAGAGUCUUAGAACUUUCAUUCUCCCAUGGUACUUUUAAUGGCUAUAUACUUCCUUGGAAAUAGAUAGAUCACUACUCAUUUCUUACUGCUGCUACUUCAAUUUUUGCCACUAGAGUUUUUAUUCAGCUUCCAGACUCUUUACCAUUCUUCUUUUCUACCCUUGCUCAUUUGCUGAGUAGAGUGGGAGUCAGACGUUAUCCUGAUAGCUUCUGUUGGAAAUGCUGCCAGUUGUGAAAUGGAUACACUUUUCACUCAUUGUUUGUGCAAAUUUUUCUAAUCCAUCCACCGACUGCACAUCCUGGCCUUUAUUAGCUGCUAUUUUCCUUCUUGAAGCACCAAGGUAAAGGAUGGUAAAAGGAUUUCCUGUCUCUGGGCUACAGCUUGGUUUCACAAUUCAAGUGCAGAUCUACAAACAAUAAGAAACAACACCCUUCUGUGCGAGGCAAUUGUAAGGCAGCCAUGGCAGUUCAAAUGCUGGGGAGAACUGUUCUAUGGUACAAGAAGGAGCAGCAUUCUGGCAGCUCUUGCUGAAGCAGCUGGGAAAGUGACCUUAUAAACAGAGCUGGUAUCCUCCUCUCUGUUCACUGCCUGAGGAGUUGGAGGUGCUGAAAAACAAAGGAGGCAAACUAUCCUGUCAGUAAUCUGCUUUGCUGGACCCUGGAAACAUUCCUCUUCCAGUGCAUUGAUCAGGGAGUACAUCAGAAGCUUUCAAAAGUAAUAAAGAGUCUAAGGAGACAAGAACAUGAAAAACCAAGCAAACUAUAAUUCUCCAAGACCUAAAAAAGAAGACUCAUAGCUCCUCCUUCAUGUUACUAAUUUCAUACAGCAUAAUGAAAAAAAGAGACUAACAGCUUUGAGCCUUGCCAAGAUGGAUGGUUCAGAUAGUGGUAAUUUCUUAGUUUAGGGGGAGAAGUGUAAAUUUUUAGGCUUGGCCACUGCCAUGUUCCAUCCACGCUGCAGUUUGGAAUGAGCUCACAAUGUUCAGCUGACAACAGAAGAAAAAGUAACAGAAUGUCUCAGAAAAUGGCUAUUCAUGUCCAAAUACAAAAUGCAACUUUUUGGAAGGACUUUCCUAUAAUUAAACAGGAGCUUAAUUUUGGGCUGGCUUUUGUAUUUGCUCAAAAUUGAAGCUUUUCCUCUUUUAUGAGAUCUUCACUGUCAUUGUAUUUUUACGUGAACACUUGUUUGUACAAGUGAUAUGUACUGAGUACAGGACAUAUACUUAACAACAGACAUGCAGUUUAUAUUGUAUUUUGUAGGUUCAGGAUGAGCACUACUAAGGAAAAAUGCAGCAUGUUAUUGAACUCUGGGGAGAUCAUGAUAGGCAUACAAAUAUGUGCUCUUAUAAUUAUGCUUCCUUAACCUCUGUCAAUUUGCAAUGGACAUUUUAAAUUCAAUGUGGAAUCAAGUUUACUCAUUUGUUCAUGUUUUCUUGUCACAGCUGGAAUCUCCACUGGCAUUGAUUUUACACUGCUUCUAUUUCAUUCACUUCAGUGGUAUUCAUAAGAUAGAAGAUGAUGCAAUCAUUUUAGUUUUACACCACAUGGAAUAACAUGCCUUCAGACAAGACUGGUAUCUGGCUAAUGGCGACUUCAAAGUCUUACAUGCUGUAACAAACAACGUGAG